rnacentral:tRNA from 1 species
UCCCUGGUGGCUCAGCAGUAAAGAAUCUGCCUGCAAUGCAGGGGACCCAAGUUCAAUCCCUGGGUGGGGAA